AGAGUUUGAUCCUGGCUCAGGAUGAACGCUGGCGGCGUGCCUAACACAUGCAAGUCGAGCGGAGACGCGAUGAAGGAGGAUUCGUCCAAUGGAUUCGUUGUCUUAGCGGCGGAUGGGUGAGUAACGCGUGGGCAACCUGCCCUUGACAGGGGGAUAACAGUUGGAAACGGCUGCUAAUACCGCAUAUGCUCACGAGGCCACAUGACCUCGGGAGGAAAGAUUUAUCGGUCAAGGAUGGGCCCGCGUCGGAUUAACUAGUUGGUGAGGUAACGGCCCACCAAGGUGAUGAUCCGUAGCCGGCCUGAGAGGGCGACCGGCCACAUUGGGACUGAGACACGGCCCAAACUCCUACGGGAGGCAGCAGUGGGGGAUAUUGCACAAUGGGGGAAACCCUGAUGCAGCGACGCCGCGUGAGCGAAGAAGUGCUUCGGCAUGUAAAGCUCUAUCAGCAGGGAAGAAAAUGACGGUACCUGACUAAGAAGCCCCGGCUAACUACGUGCCAGCAGCCGCGGUAAUACGUAGGGGGCAAGCGUUAUCCGGAUUCACUGGGUGUGAAGGGAGCGUAGACGGCAACGCAAGUCUGAUGUGAAAACCCGCGGCUCAACCGCGGGAUUGCAUUGGAAACUGUGUAGCUUGAGUACUGGAGGGGCAGGCGGAAUUCCUGGUGUAGCGGUGGAAUGCGUAGAUAUCAGGAGGAACACCGGUGGCGAAGGCGGCCUGCUGGACAGUAACUGACGUUGAGGCUCGAAAGCGUGGGGAGCAAACAGAAAUUAGAUACCCUGGUAGUCCACGCCGUAAACGAGCAAUAAAAGGUGUUGGUGGGCAAGGCUCAUCAGUGCCGCAGCAACGACAAAAAGUAUUCCACCUGGGAAGUAGUUCGCAAAGAAUGGAACUCAAAGGAAUUGACGGGGGACCCCGCACAAGCGGUGGAGCAUGGGGUUUAAUUCGAAGCAACGGCGAAGAACCUUACCAGGCCUUGACAUAUGAUGGACAGAUCCUUAACCGGAUCCUUCUUCGGACCAUCAAGACAGGUGGAGCAUGGUUGUCGUCAGCUCGUGUCGUGAGAUGUUGGGUCAAGUCCCGCAACGAGCGCAACCCUUGUCCUCAGUAGCCAGCAGCUUGGCUGGGCACUCUGAGGAGACCGCCGGGGACAACCCGGAGGAAGAUGGGGAUGACGUCAAAUCAUCAUGCCCCUUAUGGCCUGGGCUACACACGUGCUACAAUGGCGCCGUACAAAGGGAAGCCUACCCGCGAGGGGAAGCAAAUCUCAAAAAAUACGUCUCAGUUCGGAUUGCACUCUGCUACUCGAGUGCAUGAAGCUGGAAUCGCUAGUAAUCGCGGAUCAGCAUGCCGCGGUGAAUACGUUCCCGGGUCUUGCACAAACCGCCCGUCA
rnacentral:rRNA from 1 species